rnacentral:rRNA from 1 species
UACGGGGGGGAGCAAGCGUUGUUCGGAUUUACUGGGCGUAAAGGGCGCGUAGGCGGCGUGACAAGUCACUUGUGAAAUCUCCCGGGCUUAACUCGGAACGGUCAAGUGAUACUGUCGUGCUAGAGUACAGAAGGGGCAACUGGAAUUCUCGGUGUAGCGGUGAAAUGCGUAGAUAUCGAGAGGAACACCUGCGGCGAAGGCGGGUUGCUGGGCUGAUACUGACGCUGAGGCGCGAAAGCCAGGGGAGCGAACGGG